UGGGGAAUAUUGCACAAUGGGCGCAAGCCUGAUGCAGCCAUGCCGCGUGUGUGAAGAAGGCCUUCGGGUUGUAAAGCACUUUCAGCGAGGAGGAAGGCGUUAAGGUUAAUAACCUUAGCGAUUGACGUUACUCGCAGAAGAAGCACCGGCUAACUCCGUGCCAGCAGCCGCGGUAAUACGGAGGGUGCAAGCGUUAAUCGGAAUUACUGGGCGUAAAGCGCACGCAGGCGGUUUGUUAAGUCAGAUGUGAAAUCCCCGAGCUUAACUUGGGAACUGCAUUUGAAACUGGCAAGCUAGAGUCUUGUAGAGGGGGGUAGAAUUCCAGGUGUAGCGGUGAAAUGCGUAGAGAUCUGGAGGAAUACCGGUGGCGAAGGCGGCCCCCUGGACAAAGACUGACGCUCAGGUGCGAAAGCGUGGGGCAGCAAACAGGAUUAGAUACCCUGGUAGUCCAGCGCUGUAAACGAUGUCGAUUUGGAGGUUGUGGGCUUGACCCGU
rnacentral:rRNA from 1 species